rnacentral:rRNA from 1 species
AUUGAACGCUGGCGGCAUGCCUUACACAUGCAAGUCGAACGGUAACAGGUUAAGCUGACGAGUGGCGAACGGGUGAGUAAUGUAUCGGAACGUGCCCAGUUGUGGGGGAUAACUGCUCGAAAGAGCAGCCAAUACCGCGUACGACCUGAGGGUGAAAGCGGGGGAUCGCAAGACCUCGCGCAAUUGGAGCGGCCGAUAUCAGAUUAGGUAGUUGGUGGGGUAAAGGCUCACCAAGCCGACGAUCUGUAGCUGGUCUGAGAGGACGACCAGCCACACUGGGACUGAGACACGGCCCAGACUCCUACGGGAGGCAGCAGUGGGGAAUUUUGGACAAUGGGCGCAAGCCUGAUCCAGCCAUGCCGCGUGCGGGAAGAAGGCCUUCGGGUUGUAAACCGCUUUUGUCAGGGAAGAAACGCUCUGGGUUAAUACCCUGGGGUAAUGACGGUACCUGAAGAAUAAGCACCGGCUAACUACGUGCCAGCCGCCGCAGUAA